rnacentral:rRNA from 1 species
UUAAGGUCUAAUCUGCUCAAUGAGGAGUUAAAUAGCCGCAGUAUUUUGACUGUGCAAAGGUAGCGUGAUAAUUAGUCUCUUAAUUAGGGACUUGUAUGAAUGAUUGGACAAGAAAAUUUCUGUCUCUUUUUAAUUUUUUGUGAAUUUUAUUUUUAAGUUAAAAUGCUUAAAUAUUUGUAAAAGACGAGAAGACCCCAUAGAGUUUUAUUUUCAUAAGUUUUUAGAAUAAUAAUUAAAAUUGAAAAAUUAGUUGGGGUGACUAAAAGAUUUAAUUAACUCUUUUAAUUUAAAUCAUUGAUUUAUGAAUAUAAAGUCUAUUUUUUUAAAUUUAAAUUAAAUUACCUUGGGGAUAACAGCGUA